CCUACGGGUGGCAGCAGUGAGGAAUAUUGGUCAAUGGGCGCGAGCCUGAACCAGCCAAGUAGCGUGAAGGAUGACUGCCCUACGGGUUGUAAACUUCUUUUAUAAAGGAAUAAAGUGAGGCACGUGUGCCUUUUUGUAUGUACUUUAUGAAUAAGGAUCGGCUAACUCCGUGCCAGCAGCCGCGGUAAUACGGAGGGUCCGAGCGUUAUCCGGAUUUAUUGGGUGUAAAGGGAGCGUAGACGGGUUGUUAAGGCAGGUGUGAAAGCUUGCGGCUCAACCGUGGCAUUGCAAUUGAUACUGGCGGGCUGGAGUGCAGGUGGGGUAGGCGGAAUUCGUAGUGUAGCGGUGAAAUGCGUAGAUAUUAGGAGGAACUCCAGUGGCGAAGGCGGCUUACUGAACGGUGACUGACGUUGAGGCUCGAAAGUGUGGGUAGCAAACAGGAUUAGAUACCCGUGUAGUC
rnacentral:rRNA from 1 species